GGAGAAGGAGGAGGAGGAAGUUAUAAAGAGAGAAGAAGAGGAGCAGAGGGAAGUGGAUAAUGGCAGCGAUAUUUCGGUGGUGGAAUCCGACAAUAUCUCGGAGAUAGAAGAGACACAAGAAGCUUUGGAAGGGGAAGAAGACGAGAAUGAUAGAGAGGAAGAGGGGGAGGAGGAGGAGGAAGCUAAAUACUAUGCUCAUGAUAUUGAAGAAGCGCCAGCGGAGAUAACGCCGAUCUAAUGAACAAAAGAGAAUCCUGCUGACAUUGAGGAGCAUCAUCAUCAUCAUCAUCUUCAACAUCAGCAGCAACAGUAUCAUCAGCAGUAGCAGCAUCAUCGACACGAAGUGACGAACAGUUUAAUUUCUUAGAGUUACGGGCGGAAAACUCGCGACGUUUCAGAAAUUUUGGCGUUCUCGAAAGAGAAACAAAUUUCGUAAUAUGACUAAUAUGCCAAGGCGCGAAUACCGUUCGCUGGUUAGAAAACGCGUUCCACGAAAUCUACGCGCAUGCGAUACGUUCAAGCGAACUGGGCGAUUACGUAAGAAUAUCGAUUCGGCGAAUCUAGUGCAUGGUCCAUCAAAACUAUCGUUUUGUCCGGUGCGACUUAACUUUCAAGGAUAUAUGAAGACUCGUAAGUUCGAUAGCUCAAAGUGCCAGCAGAAUCGAUAUUGCAGAAAAUUUCGACGUAUGUGUUUUCAACAUUGCGGGUUGUGCAAAUCAAAUCAUUUAACGCGCGAAAACAUAGCAAAACGCUUGAUUUUGCAAUUAAAUAAUUCGGAUAAUUUGUGUUUUCCAUGUUUCCUUAUAAUGGCGUGAGUGCAUUGCGAACGUAGAAAUCUAGAAAUCUAUGGGCGAACUCUAUUAAAAAAUGGAAUAAGACGACAGAAUUUCUUGUUACAAUCCGAGUUAGCGAGAGAACUAACGAGGAACACUGGAGUCACAAUUCGAAGAGGGAUGCGGAAUUCGCGAAAUCGAGCGUUUUCAACGGUAUCUCGCUGCCGAAAAUAUUCCUAUAAUGGUGUUUUAGCACUUUUGGGUGCAGCGAGAAUCCGUUAUUUGACAGUUGCGCGUUAUUUACCUCUCCAGAAGGAGAGCCCUCUAGAUUAAAUAUUAUGUAUUAUGAACGUAGGCAUCAACGUCAUUACAAUCCGAUAUUAAAUGUAAAAGCCGCUGCUGGUUUUCGCGGAGAAUAUUACGUCGCGUGUGAUAUGAAUUAGAAGUCACUGCUGCACGAAAAAACGCCCACGAUGUUACGCCACUCUGUUAUGCGAAUCCCCCGACGCAGGCCUAAUUAGGUAUGAAACGUGUAAUCGUACGGUACUUCAUGUUUCGAAUGUCAUCGCGCGGAAAGAUUCUACGACGAACAACCUCCUGCAAGCGCUUACGAAUCGGUAAAAAUUUGUAACAAUUGCAGGCAAUUCGUAAAGUCAAAAUCGAGGCAUGAAUGCGUAUUGUAAAACUUGCCGAUCGCAGCGGCCUUCGAAUCAUUUUUGCUUCAUGCGCCUUCUUCGAUGUAAAGUCGAUGUAAAGUCGUUACCGAGAAUCCAGGGGAAGAUACGAGUGGUACGAUGGUACAGGAAGAAACUCAGGGAUGAGAAUGAGUCCAAAGAUAGAGCAAAUUAUAAAUACAAAAGAGAUCGCGUCACAUUCGUGUUCUACGAUUUCGAAACGCGAGAGGACGAGACGUGUAAAGAAACUGAAAACAUACAAAUUCACGUUCCGACUCUUUACGUCGCACAACAAAUGUGAUGUCAUAGUGCGGAGUGCGCGAGUUUAUAUUUCGAAAUGAUCCGAUUAAACAAUUUAUUAAUCAUGUAACGCGAACAACAAAAUGUUUCAAAAAGACCAUUUGUAGAACACAUAAUCCGAAAGCGUUCGACGCGCAAUUCAUUUUAAAAUAUUUAGUCGAAAACUCGGAAAUUACGGAAGAACCGCUGGUAAUUUUGAACGGGACAAAAAUUAUCGUGUCGGUCGGGAACACUAAAUUUAUAGAUAGCGUAAAUUAUUUGCCGAUGCAUUUAUCUGAUUUGCCCAAAGCUUUCGGGCUCAAAGAUACAUUGGGUAAAGGCAUCUUUCCCCAUUUCUUUAAUACAAAGUACGAAUCAAACGUACAUCGGUCCAAUAUGACGAGCAAUAUUAUUCUCCCGAUCAAAUGAAGUCCGAAGAACGUGAACGAUUUACGAAAUGGCACGAAGAAA